AGCUCCUAGUCCGGGCUUGGGGAGCUGCGUGCCCCUGGACUGCAAGGUCGCAUAGCAGGGGCUUUAAGAGAAGUCUUGAGACAGACAAUUUUGACAAUCUCCUUGAUGCCUAUGGAAAGCAGGCCCACCUGGAAAUGCACAUGGAGCCCCCCAAGGUCUCUAGUCGGAAUUAUUUUCUGCAUGCCUGACUCCUUCCCCUCAUUCAAGCUUCUUAUGGAUUCCUGGUGAUCUCUGUAAUGGAAAUUGCAUGUGGCAUGUCUUUCACACUCAUGGGCUUAUCAAGUUAAUCUGAAAAGGAAACAUGUCUGGAAAGGUUUGCCACCUGGAGCAAACUUUCUUGAAGAACUUUCCUCCAGGAAUGCCCAGGGAAGCAGAAGUUGUCAAAGCUUUGAACUGAAUGGCAUCUCAGUUUGUUCUGAACCAUUGGAUUUGCUCUGAUCUGAUGGAACUUUGAUUGUCGAAAGAAAAGCUCACCCAGGAAGGUCAAACUGAGCAGGACAUUUUUUUUUUUUUUCCUCCUAAAGGAUAUUCCAGUCUUUGAGUAUUUGUCUUUGACCUAAAGCAGAUGAGAACUGCUGAAAUCAUGUAGCUUCAUUAAAAUUUCCCUCACUCUGGAGUUGAAAGAUUUACUGUAAAAACUGCAUUUUGGAUUUUUCUGGAAGUUGUUUUCCAUCAGAGAAUCCUCCUCAUUGAAUAUUCACAGCUGAUUCUUGAGGUGAGAUUUAUAUGCCCUGCUUUCUUUCGUCUUUUCCCACUUUGUUUUCCCCUUGUUCUCUUUAUAUUGCCUUGUCAUUAAUGGUCUAUAAUGCUGCAGACCAUGGGCUUGCAUUCUCAUUGCAGUUUUUAUAGUUGUCAAAUAUACAAUGUGUGUUUGUUUGAGUAGACAGAUGAGACCUUUGACCAAUUAAUAAUUUCUUUAGUCCAUUAUCAUAGAAUAAUAGAAUCACCAGGUUGGAAAAGACUUCUUGGAUCAUCGAGUCCAACCAUUCCUAUCAGCCACUAAACCAUGUCCCUGAGCACCUCAUCUACCUGUCUUUUAAAAACCUCCAGUGAUGGUGACUCAACCACCCCCCUGGGCAGCCUCUGGCAGUGCCCAAUGACUCUUUCUAUGAAAAUUUUUUUUCUGAUAUCCAGUCUGAACUUCCCCUGGAGCAGCUUGAAGCCAUUCCUCCUUGUCCAGUCCCCUGUCACUUGGGAGAAGAGGCACUAGACAUUUAUCUCAAUAAGGUUCUUUGGCUUCCUCACCUAUUGCUUACUGUGCUCUGUGGCACAGCAACUUGGAGUCCAGACCUACUCAGUGGCAGCAUGUCCAUACUGGUGUCUGUAACAGAAGAUGGCAGCAGAAUUUACAGCAGUAUCUGUGCUUGUAAAGCCAAAUAUAUUUCAAUCUGCAGAAAUGAGUGAUCGGUCAAACUGCAAAAGAUAAAUGGGAAUUAAAGCUGGCCGAUAAGAAACAUUAGUUCAUCUAAGUGGUCUUAACAACUGAUUUUCCACCGGUCAUUUCUCCACCUGCUCAUCAAGGCCCAAGCAGCUGAAGCCAGCGCAUCUCUGACAAUGACUGAAUACCAAUGAAGCUAAGGUCACCUAAGCAUCAAGUGAGUGGGAGAAUAGCACCCAGCAAAAGAUGUCAGCAUUUUGGACCAGCAGUAAUCACUACAUGACAGAAACCAAAAAAUGUUUGCUACAGUUCAAUAAUGAAGGGAGGAAACAGCUGGUCUGCACAUUUGUGAGUGGGCAGCAUUUAAUAAGAAUUUUUAUGCACUUUCCGGAGAACAAGAGAAAAAAAUGAAGUAACUUGAGGUGAAUCUUGGUGAUGAAGCUACACAGCAUGGAAUUAAUUGCCUGCCAUCAUCUGAAAAUCACUUGUGUGAGGUGGCCAAAACUUCAUCAACCAGAUCUUGAAUUCAGACUGAUGCAAAUCAGAAGCUAUGGCCAGCAGACGAACACUAGAGAGGUGAAGAAAAGCAUUACAUUUUACGAUUCUUGUGAAAUUCUUCAUGCAUGAGGAUGUAAGUCAAGUCAGUGGAACAUGGACAAUUUAAUGCUUUCCAGGUGCAUUUCUUUUUAUCAGUCCUGACUUUCUAACGGAGGAGGGGGAAGGAAGUAACAAUUUUUAAUAAGGGUAGAGCUAGCUACACCAGAGUCCAGCCUCCUGUUCUAGUUGGUUUCAACUGCCUUUGGCAAUUCACUGGUACCAAAGGAAGUAUUGAUUAGGAGAUCUGCCGCAGCACUGUAUCUUCCUGUGUUAAAUACAGUGGUGAAAUCGAGAAGUAAAUUCUGAGUAUUGAAUUUCAGAAAGGGAAUUUAUUUUCAGCCGUUCCAGCAGAUUCUCUUUUUCCAAAUCAGAGAAAGUACUAUCAAAUCAUAAAUGUAAUAUCAAAGCAGCCAUGUAAUUCAAUUUUUUUCUCCAUAAUCUUUCCCAUGUUCCCACAUCACAGUCAGAAUUUGAGCUCUUUUAGCUUAGGAGAUGAUUGCAGUGUAGAGGUGUGAAGUGCAAUCACAGCUGUGCUGUCUGCACACUUGGACCUUGGCACACCACUCUCUAGCCAGCAAAGUGCUCUGGGACAGACCCAUUUUUCAUAUUUCUACCAGCACCAGUAUUCAGGGGCUGAGUGUCCUCUUUUUGGUGGUUUGAUGUUCAAACUGUAACAAUGUAAUUUCAUCUCAGAGCAGCCUAGCUCCUGCUAUCCUAAGACAAUUAAAUGUAGGGUUUUGCCUGGCUCUGGCACAGAGCUCCAUAAGCACACUUGUGCCAGGAAAGCUCCUCUAUUCUUGAAGCAGUCGGCUGGCUCUGUGAGUAACUUCCCAAUGAGGACUGGAAAGGCUGCAGUAUUUAUCUUGCUGAUUUGUAGGCAUUUCAUUUUUCAUAUGGAGGUCUUUGGUCCCAACUACAUCAUUGACAAAGCCAAGCACCCACCACAAGACUUUCUCAGAUAAGGCUCUCCUGGAUCUCUCAGGCUAAGUGCUAGAAAUUGUUGUACGUGGGAGUCAUAAAAUCUCCUAGUAUUAAAUGGAUCCCUAAAUGAAUGAAGAAACAGAAAAACCUCCUCCAAUUUCAAGAAAAUCUCUGCCUUAAUCUGGGAGGGACUGAAGGCAGAUGGGUGAUCCUUCCAGGUUACCAUACAACAGAUUGAGGAUAAAAAAAAAAGCCACUUCAACCUUUUUUUGAGAAAAAAUAAAGGCAUUUAGAGGCAUUUCUGGUGUAUUCAUAAAUCAAGCAGUGGAUGGUAUCUGCAUUGAGGGAGCUGGAGAGCAUAAGACGUCUCAGCUUCAGUGAGAACUAAGCCCAGAAUUUAAAGGACUUGCAUCCUUGGUGUUGGGCCACAUCCUGCAGCACCAAAGCAUGGCCAGGUCUUAAAGGAUCAGGUUUACCCACAGAGGUGACUUUGUGCAGCUGGGUAUACCAAUAUUCUGUUUCCGAGACUUUUUUAGAGAAUAAGUGACUCAGAUGGAGCUCUGCCAUCUGCUUGUGCCUAUGAAAUAUAGAGGCACAGGUGGACUUUUCCCUAAAGACUAAGACAAGACUGUCUCUUAAGCCAGUUUAAUUUCCCUUUCACUUCUAUAGAAAACUCUGGCUAGGUCUUUAGUCUUCCUCUGCAGGACUCAGCCACAGGAAACCACCUGACCCACAUUUUAAAGAAAACCGAAAGAAUAAUUGUUAGUCAUCCUUAUCUGUGAUUGACUUCCUGUUCUUGUAGAAGACACGAUUAGUGCUAGAUAAGGCUAAAAAAUAUUCUGAGUCUGAAAAUGGAAAAAAAGCAGUUACAAAAAUUAUGGCAGGAAAUAAACUUUUGCCUGUCAAAGUCUCCUUGUUCUGGAAUGUCAGUAGAUAAGAGAUGUUGCAGGUAAUGUGAGAAGAUCACUUAUGGCACAGUUCUUAUCUGGGCUAAACAAAUGUAACUCCUGAUAGUGUUUUCACUACAAGUCUCUUUUAUGGCAGCAGUGCAAGCAGAGGCUGCCUUUCCUAGACCUCUAGGUCCUUGAGACACACUGUUGUCUUAAGCAGAACUGAAAAGUGUAAAGUAGUCAUCACUCUUGUGAUAUCUCAGGCUGGGGAGACAUACAAAUGAGCACGUGGGUAGAAAUCUUCAGUGAGAUAUGCUUCCUGGAGAUGACUGAGGUCCAGGAGGUAGAAGAGAGUAAAAACCUUUUCUGUGCUCAACACAAUGUGAGGAAUGAGAAUAAGAAGUGAUAUCCAAAAUCAAAAGAACGUCUGGUUCUUGGUUCCCUUCACCGCAGCCCUGUUCCCCUUCCAGUAGACCACUGAUGCUGUGCUACCUCCUUUCCAAAGCUCUUACCAAGUCCAUCCAGCCUUAACUGAUGUGGCCAGACUGUCAGACACUGAGUGUAUGUGCCAGGGAGUCUUUUUCAUAGAAAGAUUUUGGGUCCUGAGCAUCUGUCUUGCUCAAAGAUUCCAUUGCCUUUAUUUUAAUCAGGUGCCUUGGAGGUAAAUUACUUCACAGGCUGCUUAAAUUUAUGAAUAAUAAUUAUUUCAUUACUGUAUAAUUAAGUACCUAUCUUAUAAUAUAUAGGCUUUUAAAUUACCUUUUUCCUUUUAAAUAUGUCACUUAGUGUUGUAUCUACAGAAUUACCCACAACACUUUUUUUUAGGAAUGAUCAAAGGCAAGCUGAAAAAUAAAGCUAGAGAAUACUGUAAUCCACCUGUUCCUAGAAUUAAACUUAUUAAUUUGCAAUACUAAUUACAUAUACAGGUGUCAACACAAGCCAGGUUGCAUUGAGUAUGCUGCUUUACGAACUGAAGUUCCGGUAGCAGCAGCUGGUAAGCCUGCCUCCUCAUCUGUACACAGCAGUCCUGCCUUCCGGCACCCCGGGUGCUCCAUGGGACUGCAGCUCCUCACACAGUGCCAGCAGCAUCUUUCUUAGCUCUGUUACUGCCCCUUAGGAACCUGCUCCAGCUGUGCCAGGAGAGAAGCAAAUCCUGCUGGUGAUGUCACCUCUGCCCUCAGGGUCUGCAGUGGCUUGGGGGGGACAGAAUUGACCCAGGGUUCAUAAAUGGCCCCCAAAAACCCCAGACAUCUUGGGGGAAAACAGUUUUCUGAUUCAAUUCAUGUGAUUUAAGCUAAAAAGGGCCUAUUCAGAGCAUGAGGGUGCUGUUCUAGUAGUUCCCAAAUUUGCUGCUGACGCAGACAUCGCUUCCUCUGGCUCUUGGAAGUAGCUGGAGCCAGGCAAGGCCAGCAAUAUACACUGUCUCUGUCUGAGCUCCCGGGAAGGCAACCACGUUGCCUCUGGGUUCCGUGGCAGAAAAUACCUUUAUGUGAAAAGAACUGCCACAGUUUCCCUAACUAUGGCAUACGGGGGAAAAAAGAUAUUAACAGUUAAGAUCUGAGAGUGGUAUUUUUCCUGUAUACAUAGCUUUAUUCUGAGUCAUUCUGGUAAAAUAAAUAGAGUAUGUCAAUAAAGUAAGCAGCUUAUCAACACACAGACAUGGCUGGAACUUGCUUUUGGGGUUUAUUUUAGAAAUGAACUCUAAAAAAGAAAAAUGGAGUCAAGUGAAGUGGGAAUAAUAGCAGGAGAUUUGGGAAAGAGGAUCUUUAUUGAGGUAUUUUGUUGUCACUUGGAUAGCCUUGCUAAUAUUGAUGUAAGACAAUAUAAUAUAAGACAGUUGUAACUUGGCUGUUACUUUAUACGACUAAAAGCAGUGCUUGGUACAAUACAAUCUGAAACAUUAAAGCAAGCCAUUAGUAAGCAUUUUAUCCAAGACUACGACAAAAAAAAAAGAAAAAGAAACAAAGUAGGAACAUGAAAUAUGUCUUCCAAGUCCUGAAACAGGUCUUGCAGGCCACAGUGCAGACAUUUCAAAUGUGUCAAGAGUAGGCUGACAAUGCUUUAAGUCAAAAGAAAAAAGAAACGGCUAUAACGAGGAUUGAGCUGUAACAUUCACCUCUUCAUCACACUGAUGUACAGCAGAAAGCUGAGGCUUAUUUACUGGCUGCUUGAACUGAAAUUGGUAACCUGUGUGUACCUUAUUGAUUCUUUGCCUCUCCCAUAGGAGUAAGAAUGCUGAAUUUCUCAAGAACACCCACUGCUCCGUACGUUACUAAACUGAAAAUUAACAGGAGCAUAAACCAGACCUCCUCCUGUGGCAUACUAUUAAACUGAUAAAUAAUAUCAAUAGUAAUCCUUGGGAAAAAGUGCUCAUAGGUAGUCCUCUGGCUGUUUUUACCAGACCAAGAUUAAUACACAGCUUAAAAGAUUCAUUAUUGAUGGUGAAUAUCUUGAUAUAGACAGUCACUUUUUUGGUGUAUUAUGGCAGACCUCAUUCAUGUAGCCAUGCACAGAACAUAUUCACUAAUCCUGAGCAACUAAUAUCCAAAUUAGUGUACAGACCUGCAACUUCAGCUGAAACACAAGACAGAAAUAAAAUCUGUUCUAGUUGAAUGUAGACACACUCAUUUUUCCCCACUUAGAAGUUGUUUUAAUAGGGAAGGUAGUGUGUGCUACAGUCCUCACCCCAGGACCUCUCUGGGAAGUGUAACGGUGACUGAGUGAGACAGUGGAGGUUGUAUGUCCCAGGGGUGACCAAACAGAAUGGAGCAACACAGCCAGCAGGUCAGAAAGCUCUUCAAAUGUUGGCUGAGAAAAGCAGAGCAAAGAAAAGAAUCAUCUAGAGCCUAACUUCCUCUGACAUCUCCCACCCAUGGGCUUGGGACCCCGGCAAAAAGGAGAUCUUUGGUCUGAGCUGGUGAUGCUGUUCUUAUGUAAACAGAGAUGCCUUGUCCUAAGAGUUAAUUCUAUAAUUGGGAUAAGAAGCAAUUUGGAUAAUCUGUUUCACGAAAGGUUUCUUUUAUUUGAUCUACUUCUUAUCCUCUUUUCCAGAAACAAUUCCUUUCUCCCUUGGGCAGGGCACAAGACCAAAAUGAGUGAUAAGGAUACACUGUUAAGUGCUUUUGCUUUCCUUGUUCUUUCCUUCUCUUCCUCUCUCUUUCUCUCUAAAAGACUUAGUUUACCAAUUUUGGAGCUAUUCAAAUAAAAUGAGGGGUAUCAGACAGCAUCCAAACGUGAUGCACAAGCAAUUGGGUGAAAAGAAUGAACUAGCUUCUACAAACACUGCUGAGCUCCUGGUUUUCUGCAGAAAUACAUAAAUGCCUAAUGAAAGAUGGCAAAGCAUGUACAGUAGCCAUGCCUUAUUACUUUGCCUAACAAAUAUAUUUUUUGCUUUUGAACCUCUGAAUACAAAGCUGUCCUUUAUGGAUCUAUGAUUUCACCAGGGGGCUCAACCACAGUGUUCAUUAACUUCUUGCUCGAGGAGAUUAAUUCAAUAUGUGUUAUCUGCAAUCUCUUGGUCUGGUUUUGUACCAGCAUAUAUCAAAGUAAGCCCAAGAGAAAUGUAACUUCCUUUUUCAAAGCCAUGGAAAGUGAAUUGAUGCAAGUUGCCUUGAAAGUUGGCUCUCAUCGUAUUGGUGCUACUAGUGUCUUGUUUAUAAAGGAGGAAAACAGCUCUCUCAAAGCCUUUCCUCCAGCUGGAGAAGAAAAUGUGAAUGGUGGAAGGGCUCAUCGGAGAAUGUUUAGAUUCCUAUAGGAGACCAGCACUCUCUUCCCCAGCCUCUGCAGCCUUCUGCUUCUGGCAGAUAAUCCUUAUGUCUCUGCCUCCCCUUGCCACCCACUGCUUUUUCUUGUCCUCUCAGGCUCUUGGUGGCAUCAGACUCGCACUGCUGCAGAUAGGGAGGAGCAGCAGGUGUUCCUGUCACAGUGACAGCCGGCAGUGCAGAAGGGCUCUGCUCCAGUAGGUGAGAUAAGGGCUCAGAAAGGCACACCCCUUCUCAUCCCCAUGAUUUCUGCCUGAACAGAACCAGUGUUGUAUCACAGAAGAGAUGUCAGCUAUGAACAUUCUUGAGAAAUGAGAAAAUAUUGUAAAUUAAUUUCUUCCUAUCUGGAAAUAUCAUUGUAGUUUUCAUUUGCUAAUAAAUAUUUUAAACUGUUGAUCUUUGGUGAAUGGAUCUAGUCAAGGAUAUCUGUGCCAUAGUAUCUGGGAUAACAAUUCCUGGGGGAACUGAACUGAGUCCGUCCCCAGGACUGGGGGGAUAUAUUACCAGCUAGGUCACUUCUUUACUAUGUUAGGAUCUGUGCAUUUGCUGUAUCACCUUUCAGAGGAGACUAAUGUGGAGCUGGGGCAGGAGGAUCAUUAGAGCUUUUAUGCUCAGGCAGCACACUGGCUAUCUCUGUUUAGACAGCAGUAUGACUCAGGCAUGGACCAAAGUGUCUGCCCUGCACCUUCCCAGGACAGUGGAGAGGAUAAGAAAAGAGAGAAGACAAGUGCCAGAGAAAGGACUUGUGCAUAACAAGAUCCUUUGUGCAGUCUAUGAUCAGGUGAGUUGUUGCCUACAACCCUUACCUGAGCCUAAAGAUUCCCAGUGUAUGUUGGAGCGGAGCAGGAGGAACUCAAACCUACGCAUUCAAUAAGAAACUGUCAGCUGCAGACAAUAAGUGGAGGAAUGCAACUGGGAAGUGGAUAAGCUCUUGCUGACCUGCAGCAGAGAGAGAGGAAGAGGAGUUGUGCUCCCUUCCCCGGCAGGAUGCUCCCACCACACAGCAGACCAGAAAUGAUAGGUGGUGGAAUAAGCCAAAUGUUGAAUAUCAGCAUCAUCUGAGGAGUUGCAAGAGAUGACCUGAGCUCUUGGAAAAGGAAUACAACACAGCCAACCUUCAGAAAAGCAGCAGCAAUGUCCCUUAAGUUAGUGGGCUUUUUGAAAUGCCAGUGUUAUUUUUCAGAGUGAAAUGGAUUAAUGAUGUUUAGAAUUAGGUCACUGACUGCCUCGGGAACUGUACCUUUGCCUUUGAUAACCUUCAUUCUGGGAAGUAAGUGUCAAUUAGGGCUUAUUUAAAGGUGUCUGACCUUUUUAACCUACACUGCUGUGUGGGAGAUGCUCUUGAUUUAUGGAGAACCUAGGGAAAUGUGCUUUGUUUAAUCAGAGAAAAAGAUUGCAAAGAAAUUAUCCCUUUGAUUUUCUAAGACUCAGGUGCCAGUGUAAGGCUGAAUCCAAAUGUGGCCAAGCUCUGCUAAGCCACUAAGAAAAUCGGUAAUUGGCAUCUCCAAUAGACGAUCCCUAGAAUCCAGUUAGGAUGUGAAACAAAAACUGCUCCUUGAGUUCUCCAGCAGUUUUAUGCAUUCAUUACACUCAUUGUUUCCAGUGUGCAUUUAAGCAUCCAUUUCUGUUACUGCUUUCAGUGGAAAUCUGUGCUUUUAGGAUAAAGUAAGCAGUUUAAAGACCUAAAUUUAGUGGAGGACAGGUAAACAUUUUGCCGAAGACUGCUACACAGCCAAGGACUGGUGAGGAAUUUUACUGCAGACAUGACUUCAGGCUGAGUAAAGAGGAAGGCUUUGAAAUGGUCUUGUUAAUCUCCAGCUUCCAUAAGUAAAUCAGCUUCCAGCAAGAAGGGGUUAUAGCAGGUGUUCUCAAGAGAGCUUCAUCAGAGGAGAGUCUACAUCUGAGCUGCUCCAGUGUAUCACAGCUUGAACUCCCAGUGAAGCCAGGUUUGAACUGGGAGCUGGGUACAUGGAUAAAUGUCGUACUCUACCAUUCCAAUUACACAUAACAACUUCUCCAGGAAGACUUGAGACACUGGGGGACAAUAAGGUCUGCAGCUGGUACCAUGAAUUGAGACCGAGGAAUUGCAUUGGACCACCAAGAGUUCAGGUCUGAUGAUCUCUGCAUUAAGACUCGCAUUAGAGCAGUACAGCUGUUGGAGGAAUCUCCUAAGAGAUUCUUUCUGCAUGCAAAUGACCACACCAGGGAUGCUCUGGUAGACAUCAUGAAACCCCCUCACUUCCUCAGUGUUUCUUGUGGCUUGCAGAAAACAAGAUGUUGGUGUGAUUCUCUCUGAUGGCCUAUGGGGCUG